rnacentral:snRNA from 1 species
GUCUGAGCCUACAUCUUCAG